AUUUAAUGUGUAAUUUUUUGUUCACUGGUAGUUUUUUGAUUGUUUUAUAAGUGUUCCAGAAUAAUCGGCUAUACAUUUUAAUUUUUAACUCUAUUUGUUGUUUUGUCUUUUUUUAUUUUUAUAUUUUUAUGUUAUUUUUGUAAAAUGUUUUAGUUUUUUUUAUUAUUUGAAGAGACAAUUAAAAUUUGGUUUUUGAACUGGAUUAGUACCCAGGUAAUCAAAAUUAAUUAAUUCGGGAGUAAAGUUUUAUUUAAACCGAAAAAAUAUUGACUGACUUUGGAUUUUUCUUUGGAAUAUGCGUAUGGAGAGCCCUCCUUUUUAGUUAACUCUAUUGGCACAUGUAUGAUUGUUUAGUUUUUAUUUUAUUUGUAAUGCUUUUAUGUUUUGUCAUUUAAAACAGAUAUAUAUUUGGCUUAUGGGUUUGUGAUCGUGUAUUACUAUUAUUAAUUUUUUUUGGAUUAUUUUUUUAUUUUUUUUUGAAAUUGGAAAAGAAAGUAAUUUUUUUUUUAUAUAUUAAUGAAUUUAAUAAACAAAGUGGUACAAACCAUCCGUCAAUGGCCUAUAGGGGCGUAAGUUGUAGUAUGGUAGAGGUAAGGAAACUUGUCUCUAUUUUUUAAAGUAUUAGUUUAUAUUAGAAUAAAGAAUUGUAAAUUCUUUGGAUUUUACUUUGUUUAUUUUUUAUUAUAUUGGUAUUUUUCUUAUAAUUAUUUUUAUUUUACAAGCCAUUGCUUUUUUAACUUUAAUAGAACGUCAUUUUUUGGGUGGCACUCAGUGUCGUAUUGGUCCCAAUAAAGUUGGUUACUCUGGUAUUUUUCAGGCGUUGUUUGAUGGUCUUAAAUUAUUAAAGAAAGAACAGCUUUUUUUUUAUUUUUCUUCAUGACUAUCUUUUUUAUUGAUGCCUGUUUGUAGUUUUAUUUUGAUGAUUUUUUUUUGGUUUACUUUGCCUUAUUUUUUUGUUUUUAUGUCUUUUGAUUAUUCUGGUGUUUUUUUAUUUU